CUACAAUGACCAACAACACUGCUGAUGUAUAUGAUGCCACUGAUGAAACACUGCUGACCUGAGGGACAGACUCAUAUAUGAUGCCACUGAUGAAGCACUGCUGACAUGUUGGAGGAGGAGACGUCUGGUCCUGCAGCAACACAGCACAGCACCUUAUAUCACGGCUCCUGUACAGAAGAAAACUUAUCUACUGAUUCUUGGCAGAUUAUGUUACCAUUUGAGGUGAACUGAAGCCUUGAUGUAAUAGUGAUUGAAGACUACAGUACAGGAGGAGAGAGAGUGUUAUCUGGCAUUGGUAUUAGAAUAGUUAGCAACUGUGUGUUAGUAACUUACAGGGUUCAGUUUAACACAGAUAGGCUCAUCAUAUAUUUUAAUAAAGUACAGGUAUCCCCCAAGAUACUUACAGUAUGUCCAAUAAAUGAACAAUCAUUAUUACAAAAAUAUCAGUUUGACUUGACAAAUUCCCCUCAGUCACACGGUCAGUAUAGCCCAGUGGUGCAUUGGCACUAUUGCAGAAUGUUGGUUGUGUUUAAUGUAUUUAUUAUUUUACAAGAAUUAUAUUGGUGGAAAACCCACCAGUUGACUGAUUUUUCCCUCCCAGAACAUAAUACAAGAGUUCUACCAUUCAAUAUGUUUUUUUAACUUAGAACCCUUAGUGCUAUACAGUAUGUUAGAGGAUACCUGUACAUGUAAAUUAAUGUACAGUACUGUAGGUUCACCUGUUGGGGAAGUGAAGGCAGUGUUAAUCACAAGGUUCAGUAUACAGUAUCUACACUGCCCUUAAUGGACCAUCAUGCUUGUGUGGAUUAACCAAACACUACUUAACAAAGUACAUUUAUGUUGUAGUGGAAAAAUAAUUAAUUUGCAGAACUUGACAUGAAGUAUUUAUG